rnacentral:lncRNA from 1 species
AUCAUUAAUAGCAACAAUCCACGAUUGCGCCUUACUAGCAUCAAGAGAACGCAAUACAUCUAUAUUUUGGUUCUUAUUUUUGUUGAUGAGUUUGGAAUUAAACUGAACAAAUACAAGAUUGUGUAAUCUUUCACUAUCAAGCCUAUUUCUUUUCUUUGGGUGUAUCUGAUUAAAAAAGUCACAAUAAAGUUAGAUAAGAAUAAAAUUACUUAUUAAGUAACAAAUUAUUACCUACCCCUUCAAAAGCACUCCAAUUUCUUUCACAACCAGAGGAGCUAGUGGUUAAUGAGAGGAUCUUUAUAGCCAUCUUUUGCAAAGUCGGUGUUGAAUUUCCAUAAGUCAUCCACCAAGUAGCUAACAAAUAAAAAGAAACAUUAAGCUAUUUUUUGUCUU